AUUUGUUUAUUCAAGUAAUAUGUUCCUUGUGCAGCAAAUCGAUGGAUCGAUCUGUUUCAAGAUCACUAUCAAAAUCUCUUGUUAAGCUGUCCAAGUAUUCGAGAAUAAAUGUCUCUUCAAUUUUAUAUGCUUUCGAAUAUAAGUAUAUCACACAGAUCAAUAAUCGAUUCUUUGCUUUCUUAAAUUUGCAAAGCUAGAUGAAGGACAAUAUCAAUUCCACCAUCAGCUUCCCCUUACCAGGUACAGUGUUCGCGCUCUAACCAAAAGAAUGGGAACAAACAUGUAUGUAGAGAUGUUAAAAUGAGUAACUUGAUGCCUGAAUUUUUGAAUUUAACUUGUUAUUUGGCUUAGCUCUCCUUUCUCCGGCAAGACUGCAUCUAUUUGGAUUGGACACAUGUUAUUUAACAAUUCAAAUGCUGUUUAAAAUUUAUAUGCAUGACAUCUAUUUUCACUUAGCUAAAAAAUUUCAGCGCAUUUUUUGAAUCCAUAACUAUGGGAAUAAUUACUAUAAUUUUGACUAACUUUAACUUGGAAAACGAGAAAACUCUUCAAUAUUUUUAGUUCUGGAAUUGAAUUUCGCAAUCAUGUAUGAUCAUCUGAAUAAUUCUGGUGGCUAUAGUAUCUACAUUAUGGUUCUUCAAUUUACAAUCACGAGAACUCCUUCGCUGAACAAGCAUUUCUUUUAUGUUAAUGAGACGGUAAAGUGUAUAACUAAAAGUUGUGUAUCAUAUGGAGAAGGAGUAAAAGCCAUGUGGGAACCUGGGAACCAACAAGGGCACAACCUGUAAUUUACCUCCCUGAGCAGCUGAGGGGCCGGAGGUU
rnacentral:lncRNA from 1 species